CAAAAAGGGAAUUGAAACAACCAUCUCAUCUGACCUUAUAUUUCAGAUCAAGAAUUUGCACAAUAAUUUGUGUCAAGCUCUUUAUCAUGUGGCUGAAGCAAAGAAAUCUCAAGAGAGUGUUGUUGUACAUUUAUAUUAUUGUGGGGCUUUAUCACCUGAGUUUGGCUGAUUCAGCUGUUCCCCACCUCUAAAAGGGUGAAAUGCUGCCCUGCUCAGCUCUGGCUGCACAUCCUUGCAAUGGGUCUUAUGCUGGUUUCCACACCUUCAGCACCUCUGCUGCCACUGGAUUCGCUGAAUGGGCAGAGCAGUCCACAGAAUGAGGCUUCUACUGGGCCAGUAAGCAGAGCUGUGCAGGGGGCUGUGGAUCUCAUGGGCCUGGAGCUGACACAGAGGUGGAGUGGGCCUGGGUGACCGAGGGCAGGAAUAGAGAGGAGGAAGAGGGAGGGGAAGAAGGGGAAGAAGCUGUCUUUAGGCAGUGACAAGCCAGCAGCUUGACUCAGGGUGCUUGUGGAACUGCAGCCUGAAACACAUUUCUUUCCUUGCAUAUCAGAUUAUUCUCUCAGGUCACUGCAAUUUCCUGUACUGAAUUAUUUAAUGCUCAUAGGCUGCCAUGUUUGCCUUUCCACACUGAUAUCCCAUUUGUAAUUUGUUCCACAUGUUCACACUGAAAUAUCUUACAGCUACAGUGUGCUUCAAAGGAAGGGAUUAGGUAUCAAUCAUCCCAAACCUGAUGUCUCUCCUCGACGGUUAGCUGACAUAACCCCAAAGGAUCACAUUUCAGAGUCAAGACCAAGAAUUAAGCUACAUAAAUUGACCUGUUUGGAUAUUUCUAGCUUGUAUGUUUUCAUUGCACAGACUGCUAUAGAAACGUGAGAUCUAGCAAAAGAUUAAACUGUCCUGGUCCUCCCUCCCAGGGCACACUGACCUCCAAGACCCUGACACUGCGCUGAGAGGUGGGAAAGCACAAGAGAUCCUGACAGCUAAGUUACUGAGAAGGAGAAAGACUUUCCUCAAGCUGGUUAACUUCCUCAGUACCAGAGGUCUGGCAAAGAAAAG
rnacentral:lncRNA from 1 species